CUUUUUUCUGAUUGUACAAGCUACUACACAGCACAGAUCGAGUCCCUCAUUCCUUUGUUCGCUUUCUAUACAUAGACUUGUAAUCUGUUGUGAAUAUGGCGACACCAAUGGCUGAGGACAGUAGUAACUUCGAAGAUGAACUGUAUAACAUGUCCACUGAUGAUAUUAUUAGGGCUUCCCGUCUUCUUGACAACGAAUUACGAAUUUUAAAGGAAGAAGUGCAGAGAACGAAUCUAGAGUUGGAUUCAUUCAAGGAAAAGAUAAAGGAGAAUCAGGAGAAAAUCAAGCUCAACAAACAACUUCCUUACUUGGUCGGCAACAUUGUUGAGAUUUUGGAAAUGAAUCCAGAGGAAGAGGAUGAGGAGGAUGGUGCAAAUAUUGAUCUUGACUCACAAAGGAAGGGCAAAUGUGUUGUGCUGAAAACAUCCACGCGCCAGACAAUUUUCCUGCCUGUUGUUGGCCUUGUUGACCCGGACAAGUUAAAGCCUGGUGAUCUGGUCGGAGUAAACAAAGACAGUUAUUUGAUAUUAGACACAUUGCCAUCUGAAUACGAUUCACGGGUGAAGGCAAUGGAAGUUGAUGAAAAACCAACUGAAGACUACAAUGAUAUUGGAGGCCUUGAGAAACAGAUUCAAGAACUAGUAGAGGCAAUUGUUUUACCUAUGACGCACAAAGAACGGUUCCAGAAAUUAGGCGUUCGUCCUCCAAAAGGAGUUCUUUUGUAUGGGCCUCCUGGGACUGGGAAAACUCUCAUGGCCCGAGCCUGUGCUGCACAAACAAAUGCCACUUUUCUUAAGCUAGCAGGACCGCAGCUUGUGCAGAUGUUCAUUGGAGAUGGGGCAAAACUUGUUCGUGAUGCUUUCCAGCUGGCAAAGGAGAAAUCACCCUGCAUCAUUUUUAUUGAUGAGAUUGAUGCUAUAGGCACAAAGCGUUUUGAUAGUGAAGUUAGUGGGGAUCGAGAGGUCCAAAGAACCAUGUUGGAGUUACUUAAUCAGCUUGAUGGUUUCAGCAGUGAUGAUCGGAUAAAGGUGAUAGCAGCAACGAACCGAGCCGAUAUUUUGGAUCCUGCUUUGAUGCGGUCUGGUCGAUUGGAUCGUAAGAUUGAGUUCCCCCAUCCUACAGAGGAAGCUAGGGCUCGAAUCUUGCAGAUUCACUCUAGAAAGAUGAAUGUUAACCCUGAUGUCAAUUUUGAGGAGUUGGCUCGAUCCACAGAUGAUUUUAAUGGGGCUCAAUUAAAAGCUGUAUGCGUUGAGGCUGGCAUGUUAGCACUCCGCCGUGAUGCCACUGAGGACACAAUGGAUCUAUGAAAAAACACAAACAACAGAUAGCCGCAAUGUUUCUUGGGUAUGAUCAAUGUUAGUUGGCCUAAAAUCAGGGAAAAAGGAGCAGAAGAUAGCUGCAUGUCUAUUGCAUCUGAUCAUGCUAGUUGACCCAAAAAAGUUUAGGAUGUUUGGAUUAAUUGAACACGUCGCAAGCUUAAAAUCUGAAUAACCUGAGCAUUGCAAAUGUUUUAAGUACUGAGAGGUUACUCAUGAAGACUUCAAUGAAGGUAUUAUUCAGGUUCAGGCCAAGAAGAAAGCCAGCUUAAACUACUAUGCUUAAAUCAACUAGAUGUGCCAUAGAGAGCACCUUUUAUCUUUUCAAAGUUAACAUUGGCCUUUUUAAGUGCUAGACUUUUGGCUGUUAAUUUUCUCGUCUCACAAAUGGUGCAUGGUAUUAUUCUGAUUAUUUCUUA